rnacentral:rRNA from 1 species
GACGAACGCUGGCGGCGUGCUUAACACAUGCAAGUCGAACGAAGUGGCGAACGGGUGAGUAACGCGUAAUCCACCUGCCCUUCAGAGGGGGACAACAGUUGAAAACGACUGCUAAUACCGCAUACUGUAGGAGGGGAUUGCGUUUGAUUAGGUGGUUGGAGGGGGAACGGCCCACCAGGGCGAAGAUCAGUAACCGGGCUGCGAGGAGGAACGGCAACAUUGGGACUGAGACACGGCCCAGACUCCUACGGGAGGCAGCAGGGGGGAAUCUUCCGCAAUGGACGAAAGUCUGAAGGAGCAACGCCGCGUUAGUGAUGACGGCCUUCGGGUUUUAAAGCUCUGUUAAUCGGGACGCGGUACCGGAAUAGAAAGCCACGGCUAACUACGUGCCAGCAGCCGCGGUAAUUC